rnacentral:rRNA from 1 species
UACAGAGGGCCCAAGCGUUGUUCGGAUUCAUUGGGCGUAAAGCGCGCGUAGGCGGACCUGCAAGUCGGGGGUGAAAGCCCGAGGCUCAACCUCGGAACUGCCUUCGAUACUGCGGGUCUCGAGUCCGGGAGAGGUGAGUGGAAUUCCUAGUGUAGAGGUGAAAUUCGUAGAUAUUAGGAAGAACACCAGUGGCGAAGGCGGCUCACUGGCCCGGUACUGACGCUGAGGCGCGAAAGCGUGGGGAGCAAACAGG